rfam:TPA: Bos taurus chromosome X, whole genome shotgun sequence.
UCCCUGGUGGUCCAGUGGUUAGGACUCCACACUUCCACUGCAGGGUGCAUGGGUUUGACCCCUGGUCAGGGAA